ACUCGUUUCAAAAAUUCAAAAACAAUUUUCAAAGAGCGAUAUUUAGUCCACCACUCCUUAGGGAUAUAACAUUUCAUAGUGCUCUCCAGCUCAGGCAAAUAUCUCGGAGUAGAGGGAACGUACUGACAGCGGCUGAAGCAUAGCUACAAUUGUGCAAAAAUGGGGACUAAACCCUUAUGGUGUCGUAAGAGUCACUCAUACCGGAUACUAAAGGAGAUAAUAACAGUCUCAACAAAAGCACUGAAAGUUGUUCUUGACAUCUGACACACCUUAAUAUACAACAGAAGUAAGGGGUGUAAUGGGGUGUAGUCAAGUUUCUGGGUAUGUAGUUACAGACGCGGGGCUACACUCAAUUCCUGCUCUUGUGUAAACGGUGCGCACCCUGGGAACGUGAGAGACCCUUUUGGCGCCUUGUGGCACCUUGUGUCAUGACUAAAAGAGAGAGCGCUUCUAUGAAACCACUCUGAAGUCUAAUUGCAAAGUUUGUCAACCAUAGCCGCAGCAGCGAGCGAGAUUGUGGGCUGGGUUUGAUAUCCGUCAUAUUGAAACCAACUCCAAUGAACAAAUUACUUAUGCCUCGGAUGAGAUGUCCCCCUUCUGCAGAUAACUACUGCAAACGCAAUAAGGACUAUGAUUUAAGGACAUGCAGUUGGAAUGCUCGAUCCCUUAGUUGACAGGGCGCCGCUGCUCAACUGGUUAAUGUUCUCGUCUAAGGAGAAGUAUGGAGACGAAGGGAGAUUCCUAAAAUUAUUUCUCUUCGGUGGAUGAACAUCUAGGCAUAAUCCGCGUAAAAGUUAAAUGUUUCAGCAUGUCGCUGGUUUGCGUCUGAUGAAGGAGAAGAACAAUGGGAUCAAAAAUACCUUUUAUGAGCGACUGAGCGCUGCUCCCAUCACGAUAUGGAAAUUGUGCUUGGCGACUUUGCUGCCAGGGUGAGAAAUGAAGGUAUCUUCGGCACAGCGGUCGAAAAAAUCUGACAGCAAGAGAUAAUUUUCAAAAUAGAUUGAGGCUGGUUGACUUCGCCGGCGACCGUAAUAUGGUUGUAUGCAGUGCAAAAUUCCAGAGCAAACAAUCUCAUCAAGUUACUUAACUGUCUCCAGAUCGAAAAACUCACAAUCAGAUCAAUAAUGGAAUAGUCGGACAUGUAUCCAGUGUUCUUGAUGUGCCUCCGAGAUAUAUGGCGACGUUGACAUACUUCAGCGGGGUCCAGUUCAGGGAAAAUUGGAUUGUUGCUUUUUUAGUUCGCCUACUGUGUCGUAUUGAGUACCGUGUGUUCGUGGUGCUCGUCACGAAAAUGAAAAACGAAGUCAAAAUCAACUAUCCGUAAAUCAAGUCUACUAUCACCAAGUAUUCGAAAUAUUCCGAAAACGUGUCAACAGGGUGCGCCCACACAUCGCUCGUA